CUGCUGCCUCCCGUAGGAGUUUGGGCCGUGUCUCAGUCCCAAUGUGGCCGGUCCACCCUCUCAGGCCGGCUACUGAUCGCUGCCUUGGUGGGCCGUUACCCCGCCAACUAGCUAAUCAGACGCGGGUCCAUCUCAUACCACCGGAGUUUUUCACACAGAACCAUGCGGUUCCGUGCGCUUAUGCGGUAUUAGCAGUCAUUUCUGGCUGUUAUCCCCCUGUAUGAGGCAGGUUACCCACGCGUUACUCACCCGUCCG
rnacentral:rRNA from 1 species